rnacentral:rRNA from 1 species
GAUGAACGCUGGCGGCGUGCCUAAUACAUGCAAGUCGAGCGAACGGACGAGAAGCUUGCUUCUCUGAUGUUAGCGGCGGACGGGUGAGUAACACGUGGAUAACCUACCUAUAAGACUGGGAUAACUUCGGGAAACCGGAGCUAAUACCGGAUGAUAUUUUGAACCGCAUGGUUCAAAAGUGAAAGACGGUCUUGCUGUCACUUAUAGAUGGAUCCGCGCUGCAUUAGCUAGUUGGUAAGGUAACGGCUUACCAAGGCAACGAUGCAUAGCCGACCUGAGAGGGUGAUCGGCCACACUGGAACUGAGACACGGUCCAGGCUCCUACGGGAGGCAGCAGUAGGGAAUCUUCCGCAAUGGGCGAAAGCCUGACGGAGCAACGCCGCGUGAGUGAUGAAGGUCUUCGGAUCGUAAAACUCUGUUAUUAGGGAAGAACAUGUGUGUAAGUAACUGUGCACAUCUUGACGGUACCUAAUCAGAAAGCCACGGCUAACUACGUGCCAGCAGCCGCGGUAAUACGUAGGUGGCAAGCGUUAUCCGGAAUUAUUGGGCGUAAAGCGCGCGUAGGCGGUUUUUUAAGUCUGAUGUGAAAGCCCACGGCUCAACCGUGGAGGGUCAUUGGAAACUGGAAAACUUGAGUGCAGAAGAGGAAAGUGGAAUUCCAUGUGUAGCGGUGAAAUGCGCAGAGAUAUGGAGGAACACCAGUGGCGAAGGCGACUUUCUGGUCUGUAACUGACGCUGAUGUGCGAAAGCGUGGGGAUCAAACAGGAUUAGAUACCCUGGUAGUCCACGCCGUAAACGAUGAGUGCUAAGUGUUAGGGGGUUUCCGCCCCUUAGUGCUGCAGCUAACGCAUUAAGCACUCCGCCUGGGGAGUACGACCGCAAGGUUGAAACUCAAAGGAAUUGACGGGGACCCGCACAAGCGGUGGAGCAUGUGGUUUAAUUCGAAGCAACGCGAAGAACCUUACCAAAUCUUGACAUCCUUUGACAACUCUAGAGAUAGAGCCUUCCCCUUCGGGGGGGACAAAGUGACAGGUGGUGCAUGGUUGUCGUCAGCUCGUGUCGUGAGAUGUUGGGUUAAGUCCCGCAACGAGCGCAACCCUUAAGCUUAGUUGCCAUCAUUAAGUUGGGCACUCUAAGUUGACUGCCGGUGACAAACCGGAGGAAGGUGGGGAUGACGUCAAAUCAUCAUGCCCCUUAUGAUUUGGGCUACACACGUGCUACAAUGGACAAUACAAAGGGCAGCGAAACCGCGAGGUCAAGCAAAUCCCAUAAAGUUGUUCUCAGUUCGGAUUGUAGUCUGCAACUCGACUACAUGAAGCUGGAAUCGCUAGUAAUCGUAGAUCAGCAUGCUACGGUGAAUACGUUCCCGGGUCU